CAACACCGGAGGGGGAAGAGCUGCUGACAGGAGUAACGUUAACUUUAGAAAAAUCAGAUUCUUCCAUGCUGAUGGCCUGCACUCUUGUCGAAGAAAAUCUCAGGCUAAAAACCAUAUAACCAGGUCUCUGGGAUCCCCAGCUGAAGGCAUGAAGACAUCAGAUAUUGGCCUGGACAGAUGUACCAACAGUACACCACACUGCCCUCUGCUUUUGCAUGGAUGGCUGAUUACUACCAUGUUCUGAGAGGGUAUUACUAUAGCAAAACUGAGCACCUGUGACACUGGGAUUUCUAGUUGUAAAGAAUAA